rnacentral:rRNA from 1 species
UACGUAGGUCCCGAGCGUUAUCCGGAUUUAUUGGGCGUAAAGCGAGCGCAGGCGGUUCCUUAAGUCUGAUGUGAAAGCCCACGGCUCAACCGUGGAAUGGCAUUGGAAACUGGGUCACUUGAGUGCAGAAGAGGAAAGCGGAAUUCCAUGUGUAGCGGUGAAAUGCGUAGAUAUAUGGAGGAACACCAGUGGCGAAGGCGGCUUUCUGGUCUGUAACUGACGCUGAGGCUCGAAAGCGUGGGUAGCAAACAGG